rnacentral:ncRNA from 1 species
AAAAAGUGGAGACCAGAACCCACUUUAAAAAACGGGGCGUAUUCUGAAAAGCCUUAUGAGUAGGAAAAAUU